rnacentral:rRNA from 1 species
UACGUAGGGUGCAAGCGUUGUUCGGAAUCAUUGGGCGUAAAGCGCGUGUAGGCGGUUUGUUAAGUCGAGUGUGAAAUCCCUGGGCUCAACCGAGGAAGUGCAUUCGAAACUAACUGGCUAGAAGACGGUAGAGGAAGGUGGAAUUCCAAGUGUAGAGGUGAAAUUCGUAGAUAUUUGGAGGAAUACCGGUGGCGAAGGCGGCCUUCUGGACCGAUCUUGACGCUGGGACGCGAAAGCGUGGGGAGCAAACAGG